rnacentral:rRNA from 1 species
GACGAACGCUGGCGGCGUGCCUAAUACAUGCAAGUAGAACGCACAGUUUAUACCGUAGCUUGCUACACCAUAAACUGUGAGUUGCGAACGGGUGAGUAACGCGUAGGUAACCUGCCUGGUAGCGGGGGAUAACUAUUGGAAACGAUAGCUAAUACCGCAUAAUAUUGAUUAUUGCAUGAUAAUUGAUUGAAAGAUGCUAUUGCAUCACUACCAGAUGGACCUGCGUUGUAUUAGCUAGUAGGUGAGGUAACGGCUCACCUAGGCGACGAUACAUAGCCGACCUGAGAGGGUGAUCGGCCACACUGGGACUGAGACACGGCCCAGACUCCUACGGGAGGCAGCAGUAGGGAAUCUUCGGCAAUGGACGAAAGUCUGACCGAGCAACGCCGCGUGGGUGAAGAAGGUUUUCGGAUCGUAAAGCUCUGUUGUAAGAGAAGAACGGGUGUGAGAGUGGAAAGUUCACACUGUGACGGUAUCUUACCAGAAAGGGACGGCUAACUACGUG